ensembl:lncRNA
GGAAUAUAAUAUGAACGGAACACACCUAUGCUAUUUUAUACAGCCCUUAAUUGACAUUUGUUCUUUAUAAUCAUUUAAAAAAUAAACAAAAAAAACAAGCGUUAUUUUAUUAUUUUUUUUUUUUUGUUAUUUUUUUUUUUUUUUUGUAAAUAUUACACUUAUAUUAUUACAAUUAUCUAUGUAACAAUUUUAUUAAUGUUACUCAUUUUUUUUUAAUAUUGGAAUGCACAGUUGGGAAAAAAAAAAAAACAAAAAAAACAACGGACAUGUAUAUGUUUAUGUUUGCACGUGAUCUCUAUUUUUUUUUUUAAUUUAUAUAGCAUCGUUAAAAAUUCAAUGUAACAAAGUUACAAUGAUUUAUGUAAAUAUGCAAAAAUUGAAGUAGUAGUAUUUACAUUGUUUUAUUUAUUUUAAUUUUUUAUUAUCAUUACAAUUAUUAUUUUAUUUAAUUUUUAAGUGUUUAAACAUUAACAAUACAUGCGAGUAAGGUUUUUUAUUUUUUUUUUUUUAUUUUAUUUUUUUUUUUUUAUUUUAUUUAUUUUUUUUUAUUUUAUUUUUUUUUUUUUGUAUAUAUAUAUAUAUAUAUAUGUAUUACCCUUCUGUUUUACAUAUUUGGUACAUUAUUUUCUUUUACUUCUGUUUCUUUUUCCAUUUGGUUUUUUUUUUAUUUCCUUAUUUUUUUUUAACAUCGAUAAUUGUACAUAUUAUAUCCAAAUUAGAGGAUAGACAAAUACUCAGUUAUGCAAAUCUCAAGAAAGCAUUUUUUUUUUUAUUUUACUUGACAUUUAAACUUUUUUUUUUAAGUUUUAUAUUAUUGAACCUGUUUCGUGAUGUUUUAAUUUAUCCUGUCUUGUUCUUUUUUUUAAACACGUUUUAAUAUGAACUAAAAAAAAAAUAAAUAAAUAAAUAAAUAAAACUAAAACAAUUAAACAAAUAAAUAAAUAAAAUGAGCCAUGACACGAGCAAAAUGCCCAACAUAUAUCAGAAGCAGUUGCUAUCAGCUGUCGUUAAGAGAGAAGCAAAAGAAUAUGAAGAAAUAAAGUUCUUAAAAGCCUCUUCAAACGAUGGUUUAGAUAAUAAUGAUUUUAUUGUAUAUUUGGAACAAAGGUUUGAAAACUUGAUAAUUUCUAGGUAUUUAUUUGAAAUGAGUAACGACGGAAGUAGCCCCUUACGUAAUAGUGUACAAGUUACGAGAUUUAUAAUAAUGAGAAGCAAAGGGCAUAUAAUGGGCACAUGUGUUUCAGACAGAAUAAUACUAUGCUAUCGUAAUGAUAAUGGAAGUAAUACAGUUUUACGUAAUUUAAUUACUGAAUUGAAAAAUAAUUAUUAUAUAUUUUUUAAAUUGGAAGAAAAUGUAGAUAACAAUACAACAGAUAUUGACAAGGAUUUAUUAUCAUACAUUAUUCAGUUUACCAUAGUUUGUAAAUACUUAGAAUGUGGAAAAUGGAUACAUAUUGGUGAUAAUAUGGAUACUAUCAUUGAAUCUAAAUGUUUUGGUAGUAGUAAUGUUAAACAUUUUAAUUGUAUAGGUUUUAAAUUUAAUAUAUUGAAUAGUGAAUAUAUUGGGUUAAAUGGAAACGAAAAUAGUAAAAUAAUAAAUGCAAAUGAGAAUGGUAGGGAUAAUGGUAGGAAUAAUAACAGAAAUAAUAGCAGGAAUAAUAGCAGUAUUAUACAUGUAAUAAGAAUCCAUUUAAAAAUUACUAUUAAUAUUUAUAAAGUUUUACCUAUAAACGAAAUAUGCAAAAAUAUGUACGUCUAUUGUUUACCUCGUUGUUCAAUGAAAGCAACCGUUUUAAAUUUUCAGGAUAUUCCUGAAUGUGAACAAGAUUUCGAUUAUAAGAAUUAUUGGCUUGAUACACAUGGAUAUAUGUUAAAUGAUGAUGCAAUAAAAACGAUUGUUACUGUGAGAUUGUAUAAAGGAAUAUUUAAUUAUCCUAAAGGUGUUUUAUUAAGAGAAAAUGUUUAUAAAAUUAAUGUACAGAUUAAAAAAGAACACUUUUUAUAUAUAUGUAAUUUUUUACAUAAAUUUGAACUAAUAAAAACAUGUAAUAUUAAUUUAUUAUCUUAUUCAGAAAAAAUAAAUAUUUCUUCCAUUUGUAAUAAUAUGUUAGAACCUAGUAUAAAAAUCAAAACAGAAAAAAAUGACAGUAAUGACGAAGAUGAUGACUUUUAUAAAAAAAUAAAUAUAUUAUGCAAUAAUAAAUUUGAACAUAGUAAAUUUAAUGAAGAAAUAUUAAAUCAAAAUAUCAAUCAAGGUUUUUAUAACAAUGUGUAUAGCAUAUAUGGGAAUACCUUAACAUGUUCAAACAAAAUUAUUAAUUUAAACUUUACCAAGGGUAAUAAUUCGUUUGAUAAAAAUAUAAAGAGUACAGCACAUGAUGAUAACAUUAAUAAAUAUAGUAAUAGCAACUCGAAUAAUUUGAAUAAUUUGAAUAUACGCAAAAUUGCUUCGACAGACCAAAUAAAAAACAUAGAUAACUUUUUAAAAGAUUCUGCAAAAAAUUACCAAAGUUAUAAACUAAAUAAUAUGGAAUCAAAUAAAUUAAUCGACUGUAACAAGUUAACAUAUAAAACAAACGAUGAUGUUAGAAAAAGAGCUAAUACCAAUACGAGUGAUGAACCAAUUUAUAAAAAAACUGGCCAUUACAAUCAUAACACAAUAAUACGUCCUAAUACCACAACAGGUACAACUACUACUACUAAUACUGAUACAAGUGUUAUCACCAAUAGAAAGUAUGAUCUCCAAAACAGUGCUAACGAUGAAAAUAAAAUUACAAUUAAUAAAAAUAAUAAUAAAAAUUUAGAUGAAUAUUUAAAUAAAGUUACUAAGAAUUAUAAAUCUUUAAAUAAAAACAACGAAAAAGAAAAUAAUAAUAUUCCAAAUUUUGAAAAUGUUAAUGCAAAUUUUAUAUUUUCCGAAGAGUUUCAACAUUUUCUUAAUAAUUUAGAUGAAAACAUAUUUUAUUCAGAAGAACAGCUGAAAACUGUCGAUUUUAACAAGAGAGAAAAAAAAAGACCUAAUUUUUCAAUAAACAACAAAAAUAAUAAGGAAACGUGUUAAAAAAAUAUGUAUCAAGGAAUUACAUUAUAUAUGUAUAUUUAUAAGUUAAAUUUUUUAAAUAAUAGUAAAAAUAUAACGAAUUAAAUAUGCAAUUUGUUUGGACAACUACUAUGUACUUAUAUGAUAAAAAAAAAAAAAAAAAAACGCACAGCACUUUUUAAUAUAUAUUAAUAGAAUCACAUUUAUUAUAUUAUAUUAUAUAUUUGUAAAUAUUAUUAUGCUUUUUAUGUAAACUAUAUAUAUAUAUAUAUAUUUUUUUUUUGUAACUAUGUAUAAAAAAUAUAAGUAAUGUUAUAUUAUAAAAAAAAAAGUAAAAUUACUUUUUUAUAAAAGUUAUAUACAUUUCUUUAUAUUUUUACAUAUGCUUGUAGAUAUACGUUCAUAACGUGAUUAUUAAAGUAUAAGGUUAUAAGUCGAUUUUUUUUAUUUGAUUUUUUUUUUUUUUUUUUCUUGCAUAUCUUUUAAAAUAUAUUUGUUUUUUUUGUAUCUUAUUUUUUAUUUGUUUGUACACUCGUUUAUUUGUUUACUUAUUUACUAAUAUAUGUACUUGUUUAAAUUUUUUUUUUUUUUUUUUUUUUUUUUUUUUUUUUUUUUUUUUUUUUUUAUUUUUUUUUUUUUUUUUUUUUUUUUUUUUUUUUUUUUUUUUUUUUUUUCUAUUCGUAAUGUAUAUGAAUUGAUAAUCCAAUAUGUUUUGGGCCUUUAUACUGUUUUUAUAUCUUUUAUUUUAUUUUUUAUUUUUUUGAAAAUUAUUUGUUUCUGUUUAACAUUGUAACUAAUAUAUUUGGAACGUUACUGUUAUUUAAAUAAUUUUUUUAACCUUGUAAAGUAUUACAGAACACUUUUUUAAAUAUUUAUAAAAAACGCAUCUUAAAAUCCAGAAAUAAAUUUACUCAAAAUAGCA